CGAUGUUGUGCAUAGCUACGCACUGUGGGCUUGACAUCAUCCUACUUGAGAUGUAAUGUAAUGCAAAGUCCCAAGUAGGUUGAUGUCUGGCCCAAGAUGGCUGCAGUCUUGCCAUGCCUUA
rnacentral:pre_miRNA from 11 species